rnacentral:rRNA from 1 species
UCCUUAGAUGUCCGGGGCUGCACGCGCGCUACACUGACUGGCUCAGCGUGUGCCUACCCUACGCCGGCAGGCGCGGGUAACCCGUUGAACCCCAUUCGUGAUGGGGAUCGGGGAUUGCAAUUAUUCCCCAUGAACGAGGAAUUCCCAGUAAGUGCGGGUCAUAAGCUUGCGUUGAUUAAGUCCCUGCCCUUUGUACACACCGCCCGUCGCUACUACCGAUUGGAUGGUUUAGUGAGGCCCUCGGAUCGGCCCCGCCGGGGUCGGCCCACGGCCCUGGCGGAGCGCUGAGAAGACGGUCGAACUUGACUAUCUAGAGGAAGUAAAAGUCGUAACA